GAGUUCAUAGCUCAGUGGUACAGCAUCUGCCUUGUGUGCAGAAGCUCCAAGGUUCAAUUCCUGGCAUUCUGGGUAGGGCU